GACCCCCUCUCUCACUUGUGCCUCCACCUGAUCUCCUUAUCUCCGCUGGAUCCAAUCGCGCCGCCCCCUCUGCCACCCACCUUGCCGGAUACCCAUCCCCUCCCACCGCCAGUAGGUCAUCCGAUGCGCAAGAGCUGCUCUUCCACUUCCCCUCCUCCUGGUGACCGUGGAGAACCACACGGAUGAGAGACACGCGGGAGCAUACGCGCCUGUCGGCCGGCCCGCAUGGUCACGCUCGCUCCCGUGGCCGGUCGCGCAGGACAAGGUUGUCGUGCUGGACUGUGUAGGAUGGUGGUGCAGGAGCGGCGGCGGUGUGCAGUCCGAUGGUUGCAGCUGCUCGAUGUCAUAGAUUUGGCCCAGAUCUUCAAUUUGGAAGGUCAUCGAUAUUGAUCAUUACAAUCUAACGCCAUUGACUGCAGUCUGUUCUGUCAACUACCUUGAUAGGAAGGCGAAGCUUAGAUGGUGCAGCACUUGGCAUUGGCAUGUUUGUCUCAGGCUGGAAAAUACUUCUGUGCCACUCCCGGUGGACCUGCAGCUUGCUUGUGGAAAAACUGGCAACGAGUAUCAAUCUGUCAGAUAAAAGGAUAACCCUUAAAAAAUUGGAUUAUUGGCUUGUGCAGUGUGAUGAAGUAAGUUGCUACUGACUCCACUUUUCCUGUUGUAUUUCUCUUGUACGUGUUUGUUUCUCACAUUCAACUUGCGUGAAUUUUGGUGCAUGUUUUUUCCAGUACACCUAUAUAUUCAUCGGUGCUUGUCAAUUAUUAACAUGAAGGAAAAGCUUUUUCAAUAUCUUGAUUCUCUUGGCGGCAUCCUAGCAUGUUUUUUGUUCAGGAUACAAGAUAUGAAGUGUUAAUUAUCACUACUAAUUGCAUUACUGCAUUUUUAACACCGGAUUAUUCUCCAACUAAAAAUAUGUGGUCUACUUCGGCAGUGAGUUGACGUGGAUUUCUUUGAGGCUGAACUUCUUUUGUAAUAGACAAGAUCAUGGUAUGGUCAUCGAUUUAUACAGAAAACUAUUAGUCUGGAUGGUAAAAUAGAUGCCUCCUGACUUUCAAACUCAGUCGAUAUGAUUAACUAUUUUUCUUUGGAGGUGCUUGAAUUUAUGUGUGCUUGAGGUUUGUAGAACAGGCAAGUCAAGUUCAAAUUGAGCACUAGCUUGAGAAUCUUGUCAGGCGUAGGUCGUAGUUUGUGGUAGACGACGCGCUGCAGCGGUGGGGAGAGAAGAAGACGCUAGAGGCAGCCUUUAUGGAGCGCGAGUUCAGGGAUGCCUUCCUUGAGCGUGUCUCGGAGGCGACAGCUAGCGCAAUGCAGUGGAGAAAUGGGUGAGAAAAGUUUUGGAUCAGCCAUGAUUACUUUAAACCUUUCCACUCUAUUGCGAUGUGAUCCAGGUAAAACGACCUCACUGGGAGUUGUAUGAAUUUGCAAGGAAGCAAAAGAUAAAAAAUGUUAUGGUCCAUAUUGACUGAAUUUCCCGAUUCAGUUUUCAUGUCCAUAUAGUGUUUGAGUUUUCGUCUUUUAGGUUAAGGUCCUAAUGAAUUCUUUCUCCAAUGACAUCCAAAUUCUUCUUGAUGACAUGUUCAGUUAAAUGCAUAUUUAGUUAUUUAUUGCUCA